rnacentral:lncRNA from 1 species
GUGGGGACUUUGCUCCAUGUGGUGUUGGCUGGAAUAGUUUGACUGGGCCUGGAGGAUCCAAGAUGCUUGACUCACAUGUCUGGUGCCUCCGCUGCCUUUUUUUCUCCAACAGAGAGGUUGGGCUUUUGUACACAGUGGCUCAGGGCCCUCAAGAGAGCAAAACCCAAAGCUGCCAGGUUUCUUAGGGCCCAGGCCUGUGAUGGGCAGGGUGCCACUUUCCGCACUCUACUGGUCAGAGCAAGUCACAGGCCGGCCAGAUUCAAGGAGAGAGGAAAUAGUCUCGCUACACCCUGGGUGGAAAGGAGCAGUGUGUGUGCACAGGAUGGGAAAUUUCAAGCAGGGGAAAUAUGCCAGGCAUGUGAUAUACAAAUAGUACUGGUUGGAAUCAUUGAGUGAAGGAACAAACAAAUGAACGAAUGAAUAGAAUAAUAAAAAAAAAAGAAAGUAUUUUUACAUAUACAGACAGUAUGUAGACAGUAAAAUGCUUAAAUCUUUUAUAUAAAGGGAAUGUAUUUAAUGGUAGAGACUGACUGUAUUCAAUUUUGCACCAAAAGAGAGGCUGAAGGAAGAGAUAGGUAUUCUCCAUCUAGACAGAUUGUGUCAGGCCAGGCCAGAGUGUGUAAGACCAGGGACGUCUAGCUAGACUGGGAGCAAGUAUCCAUAGGAGGUGCCUAUGGCAGGCAGGACAGAGGUCAGUUCUGGGAGUGUGGAGCAAGAGCAGGAAAUGAGAAAUGAGGGAGGUUCUGCAGGUCAAGGCAGCAAGUCCAGAUCAGCAAGGUCAGACUCCAGACCAGAAACCCAGGACAGGAAAAUGAGACAAAAAGCGCCCCAAGCCAGUAGGAGACAAGAUGCUGGACAUCAGCAUCAAGCACGGUAUACAGUAUACCCUGGGUAUACUGGUCAGCUAGCCUGGUGCUGGGCCAAUCCUGGAGCCUGGGUCUGCGGUAGCUGGUCUGAAGUCUAGGUCCUCAGGGGCCAGCCUGGCGCUAGUUGGUCAGGACCUCUUCUCCUUUUCCUUACUGGGUCAUCUGUUCUCCAUCUGGAUUUGCAGAAAGAAGCAGCUCUUGGUAUGAGCUGAUAUUAAUCAUUUUUGUCAGAAUUACUCAAAAUGUAGUGUGGUAGCCGGCCUCCAUGAUGGCCACCAAUGAUCCCCACCUCCUGGUGUUCACACUCUUGUCUAGUCCCCUCUCACCUUGUAUGAGGACUGGUCUAUGUGACUCAUAGAGUAUGACAAAAGUAACAGUAUGUCACUUCCGAAACUAGGUUGUUAAAGACCGAGAGUUCCAUCUUGGUUCCAUCUUUCUCUCUCUCUCAUCUCUAUCUCUCCCUCUAUCUCUGGUCGCUCAUUCUGGGGGAAGUAUGUUGUCAGGUUGUGAGCAGUCCUGUGGAGAGGCCCACAUGGCGGGGAACUGAAGCCUGUGGCCAAGAACCGCGUGAGAGAACAACCACCACAAGUGCUCUCCAUUGGCCCAACCCAACAGGAAGCCAGAGGACAGGAGAGUCCAUGGAGGCGGUUCAUAGAGGUCAUCCUCCUAGAGAGAGGGGGAGAGUGGAUCUGGGGUACAGCAGGGAAAAGUUGAAGAUGUCCGGCACAGUCAUCCAUCCAUCUUUGCAUAUGGCUAUCCUGAGAAAUUUUUGGACCUAAACUGAACUACUUCAAGUUCAGUGAGACACAGCUUAUUUAAUCAUGUGUAAUUUGGUAAAUGCUUGUUUGCUUUGUUCAGACAUUCAUGAUCACAAAAUUAUAGUCAUAUCCUCUUUCAGCCUCAUAUUUUUCAACUGAAUCUUAACAUUUUUAUUCUAUGUUAAUAUGUGACCCUAUCUUCUUGGUGGUUUUACUUGAAAGUAGUAGAGGAAAUGAGCGAUCGGAAGUUGUAUCUGUUAUUAGGUGGCAAAGCUAAGGGAAGAUGAAACUGUCCUAGACGUACAGUAGAAUGUUGGAGAAGGUUCAGAGGUGGACACCUAGAAUAAAUGAUCCUUGAAUAUAAAGGCCUGAGGUGAGUGGGAGGAAAGAAUGGACCAGGAGGAGAGAAGGAGUUAAAUAGUUCAAAGUGCACUUCUGAAUGUUUUUGAACACCAGAAACAAAUGAUUAGAAUGGCUCAACCAAAUGUUUGUAGUUGGUAAGCAUGGUCCAUAGAUGACCUUCUCUUCCCCAAUUUGGGAGAUAUGCAGGGGCUUUAUAGGUAAAAGUUCAGUACCCAGUAAUUCUUCACUUUUAUGGGCUUUGAGCCCUGAAAUGUGGUAUGAGUAGAGAGAAGAUACCUCUUUGAAAUUAGACUCAUCAAAUCUGGAGUUUGGAAGAGAUCUUCCACCAUUACAAACCUAAUUUAUAGCAUUCUUACUAUAUGACUUUCCAGUCAUUUAAAGGUGGCUGGUGAAGGAGCUCAGUGUUUUAUUAAGCAACUCUUCCACUCUUUGCCUUUUUCCUGGGGGCAGAGAUAUGCUUUCUUACAACUUCUGUCCAUUGAUUCUUUUUCUACCAUCUGGACAGGGUUAUAAUACCCUACUCCCUCUUCUCUGUGAAAAACUCUCCAAAUAUUGUGCUUCCUCCUUCUUUCAGCUUUCUUUUAUCCUGGUGAAAUGAUUAACGAUAAUAAUAAAGAGAUAUGCCUAACAUCUUAUUGCCCACUAUGACCUAGACACUGGGCUCGAUGUUUUGUGCACCCUAUUGCUAAUUUUUACAAAAACAUUAUGAGAUCAGUAUUUUCAUACCCAUUUUACGGGUGAGAAAAGUCAUGCAAAUUCUUCGUGGCUGAGCUGGGUUUAGAAGCAGGUCUGUGUGAGUCCAGCUCCACGUCCUUCCCCCGUCCCAGUUCCUUCACGUUCCAGGCAUCUCAGCAUCCUGAUCAGUCUCUGGAUUAGUGUUUCCCAUAGCAGUGUUUUUCAAAAUCUGGUUCAGCAGGAUAAUUGUUGUUGUUAUGACAAAAGAAGAAAAAAUACAUUUGGAAAACAGUGUGCUAAACAAAAUGAAACAAGUUUCUAUAGUUUAGGACUUCUCAGAGCCUUUAAUGGGCUAAGUGCAUUGUGAAACUCUGUGAGGAAUGUAGAGUACUCAGGGUUUUCUAAUCCUGUUUCAUCCUGGGACUCUUUUUGGGGGGAAGGUUUUGCAGAAUUAUAUUUUCCAGUAUUAACUUUGGUGAACUGCUCUAGAUACAGUUUUUUUUUAUUAGUCUUGUUUUGAAAAUGUCGUAUACCAAACUGAGCAUGAUAUCUUUUAUGGAACUGACAUGGAAAAAAAAAUCCUGUUACGAGAUAUAAUUUCAGCUUGAUUAAAACAAAAUAUUCUUUCAACAUAUGGAUAACUGAGAUAAUUAAUCAAUUAGUUAUUUUUCGUACCAAGAACUUCUUUUCUUUUCUUUUUGAGGAAGAUUGGCCCUGAGCUAACAUCCACGCCCAUCUUCCUCUAUUUUAUAUGUGGAAUGACUGCCACAGAAUGGCUUUGUAGGUGGUGCAUAGGUCCACGUCUGGGAUCCCAACUGGCGAACCCCAGGCCGCUGAAGCAGAGGGUGAAAAAUUAACCACUAUGUCACCAGGCCGGCCCCUCGUACCAAGAGCUUCUAUAUGUAGCCAGCCUCUAUUCUGACACUGGGGGAAAAACAUCCUUGACGUAUAGGCACUAACAUUUUUUGAGCACCAAAAUCUUUUAGGAAAAUGCCUUGAACAAAAAUAAAAUUCUUUUUGAGAAGCAGACUUUCUAGUUGAUAGAAAUAAGAGGGAUGUGGGGAUUAAUUGUAAAAAUGCUGAAUCAAGUUUUUGUGGCAUGAUGCCAGGAAAGUCUCCCUUCCUUUGUUUUAACUCUGAACAAAGUUGCAAGAUUUUAUCACUUAGUUUCCCACUGAUUUAAACUCAAUUUGUUUGGGUUUCACAUAGGCCUGUCUUUGUGGUUAGAUGUGACAUACGUACUGAAGCACCAUCUCUGAAUGAUAAACCACAGCUCAUAACUUCCUGAAAACUAUGCUUCUUUAUUUAUAUAGGUUAUUUUUUUUCUUCCUCAUGCCUUGCCUUGUAUUUAAAUCUUAAAAUGUUGGUCAAAAAACCCCACUUUGAGACAUUUUUCAAAUUAAUAGCACAAAAUUGAAUCUUAGGAGCUUAGUAAUUUUUAGCAUUAAAUUUUUUUGAAGGAAAAACAAUUGACUUUCAUUUGCAAAUCUCUCAUAUUAGAGAAGUUCGAAUAAACCUUUAACACACCCAAUGAUAACAAGCCCGUCUCUCAUAACACCAAGGACUCAGUUAUUAGCGGAAAGGGUAUGUUUUAAGACUUUGCCUGCUUGUAUCUUCUUGAUUCCUCCUUUCUCAUUUAGAAGCUACAUUGAAGUUGCUUGCUGUGAGAUAAUAGAAAAAAUAUAUAUUGGUCUCUGCCCCUGGUUCCUGGCACAGAGCUGCUGAGACCUUGUAAAUUCCUAAGUGAUAAGAGCACUAGGAGC